rnacentral:lncRNA from 1 species
GCCCUUUCAGUCCAGUCUCUUACUGAUGCUCUCCUAAUGGCAUUCACACAUGCAUACAGCUCGCCGCCCUAGAAGCGGCCUGCUUUAAGAUUGAAAAUAUGACUGAGAGUGGCCAAAAUACAACUCUCUGUGAGUGAUCCGGUUAUGUCCUAAUUAACUUUCAAUGUGUCAAAUUCAAGUGAUAGAAAAUGGCCAAGGAAUUAAGGAGGAUUUAACAAAGAGCUGCUGAAGGUUUCACUGAUGUGGAAGCAGUGAAUUUAUAUUUCAGAAGGAAUACACAGAUAAGUGAUGGAUUCAGAGAAUUUAUAAGCUUAAAAAUGAAUUUUAAAAAUAUAAAUAAAAUGAUAUCUGCUUUGUGAUCAAAUCCAUUUGACUCCAUGUUAUUGUUUUAAUGCCCUAGUGGAGCUACUUCUCUGCACAGCUUUCUGGGAGUCCAGAGACUGCUCUAUACAUUGGAAAAUAUGAUGAAUGUGUUCAAGAGGGGCGUGACAAUUGUUCCGUACACAGAUUUUUCCAAGCAUUCUCUGUUUUUUAUACUGUAUCUUGUAUUCUCUGACCAAUUAUUACCUCCAAGCCCAGCAUUCUUUAGGAGAAAAUUAUCUCCUCUUUUUUGGUAUUCCUCUCUGCACACACUAAGUUUUCAACUUCUC